CCUACGGGGGGCAGCAGUAGGGAAUCUUCCACAAUGGGCGAAAGCCUGAUGGAGCAACGCCGCGUGGGUGAAGAAGGUCUUCGGAUCGUAAAACCCUGUUGUUAGAGAAGAAAGUGCGUGAGAGUAACUGUUCACGUUUCGACGGUAUCUAACCAGAAAGCCACGGCUCACUACGUGCCAGCAGCCGCGGUAAUACGUAGGUGGCAAGCGUUAUCCGGAUUUAUUGGGCGUAAAGGGAACGCAGGCGGUCUUUUAAGUCUGAUGUGAAAGCCUUCGGCUUAACCGGAGUAGUGCAUUGGAAACUGGGAGACGUGAGUGCAGAGGAGGAGAGUGGAACUCCAUGUGUAGCGGUGAAAUGCGUAGAUAUAUGGAAGAACACCAGUGGCGAAAGCGGCUCUCUGGUCUGUAACUGACGCUGAGGUUCGAAAGCGUGGGUAGCAAACAGGAUUAGAUACCCCUGUAGUC
rnacentral:rRNA from 1 species